rnacentral:lncRNA from 1 species
CGCCACGUAAGGAGACUAAUCACCUUUGACAGAAGUUCGCGGGCUGCUGAAGGAAACUAACCAAAGCAAGCGCCUUUCGAAAUGAUCUGGUACGACAAUUUAUAGGGCUUUUCUCAUAAAUGUUCAGUCAGGCCUAGAUCGAAAGGUUGCCCCAGCCGGCAGUGAAAAAAAUCAUCAUCAAUGAUGAUUCGAAAUCAUAUGUCAAUUCCUACAGAGCAGGGGGUGUAUUGAAGCAUAC